rnacentral:rRNA from 1 species
UACGUAGGGGGCUAGCGUUGUCCGGAAUCAUUGGGCGUAAAGCGCGUGUAGGCGGUCCGGUAAGUCCGCUGUGAAAGUCGGGGGCUCAACCCUCGGAUGCCGGUGGAUACUGUCGGGCUUGAGUACGGAAGAGGCGAGUGGAAUUCCUGGGUGUAGCGGUGAAAUGCGCAGAUAUCAGGAGGAACACCAAUUGCGAAGGCAGCUCGCUGGGACGUUAACUGACGCUGGAGACGCGAA